rnacentral:misc_RNA from 1 species
CUAAGGAAUUAACGGAACCCAACACAUUCGUCUUUAUUUUGUUCAGUUUUGAGAGGUCUAACUUCUCAAGAUAGAAACCUGUUCUUUAAAAACUGGAUACUGUAUUAAAAAAGUAAGUUAAGUAAGAAACCGAGAAACACCGCGUUUUAAAUGAGUUUUUUAAUUAGUUCUUAUCGUAAGAUAAUGAAUAAACAUUAACUAACAGGAUUGUUUUAGCAAUAAAACCUUCCACACAAACUAUUUGUGCAGGAAUGCAACAGAAUUCUAGGAUUGAACUGCAAUGAGCCUCGAAGCGUACUAACGUACGUAAGAAGUGAAUGAAAGAACAAGACGAUGAAGACUGAAGCAGUACCAACAAAUAAG